GCUUGCUCCCGGGUGGCGAGUGGCGCACGGGUGAGUAAUACAUCGGAACGUGUCCUGUUGUGGGGGAUAACUGCUCGAAAGGGUGGCUAAUACCGCAUGAGACCUGAGGGUGAAAGCGGGGGAUCGCAAGACCUCGCGCAAUUGGAGCGGCCGAUGCCCGAUUAGCUAGUUGGUGAGGUAAAGGCUCACCAAGGCGACGAUCGGUAGCUGGUCUGAGAGGACGACCAGCCACACUGGGACUGAGACACGGCCCAGACUCCUACGGGAGGCAGCAGUGGGGAAUUUUGGACAAUGGGGGCAACCCUGAUCCAGCCAUGCCGCGUGCAGGAUGAAGGCCUUCGGGUUGUAAACUGCUUUUGUCAGGGACGAAAAGGACCGUGUUAAUACCAUGGUCUGCUGACGGUACCUGAAGAAUAAGCACCGGCUAACUACGUGCCAGCAGCCGCGGUAAUACGUAGGGUGCAAGCGUUAAUCGGAAUUACUGGGCGUAAAGCGUGCGCAGGCGGUUCUGUAAGACAGAUGUGAAAUCCCCGGGCUCAACCUGGGAAUUGCAUUUGUGACUGCAGGACUAGAGUUCAUCAGAGGGGGGUGGAAUUCCAAGUGUAGCAGUGAAAUGCGUAGAUAUUUGGAAGAACACCAAUGGCGAAGGCAGCCCCCUGGGAUGCGACUGACGCUCAUGCACGAAAGCGUGAGGAGCAAACAGGAUUAGAUACCCUGGUAGUCCACGCCCUAAACGAUGUCUACUGGUUGUUGGGGUUUUUUAACCUUGGUAACGAAGCUAACGCGUGAA
rnacentral:rRNA from 1 species